rnacentral:lncRNA from 1 species
CCCAAAUCACAAAGUAAGAGGAAAAUCGUCGCUUUCUUCAUCGCCAAAUUUGUGGUCCUCCAAAGUCGGCCGACAUCUGGACCACUGACUGGCGCCGUUCUUCUGACGUAGUGUGAAGACGAUAGCGCACCGAAACUCAACAUGGAAAUAGUAUUUGAAGACAAUGUCGAAUCGUCGAUGCUGGGGCAAAGGUAUUUUGUUAUUUACUUUUUUAUGCAUUUCUUUAUCAAAUUUAAGGCUAAUUUAUGGUUAAGCUGUUUUAGACUUGUUUACAUGAUUUGGAUGUUUUUUCCUCUCUAUUUUGACAUAUAUUUGAAGUAUAUCGAUUAUGGAACCUGAUGGUUGAUGAAGUUGAAGUCUUUGAGCUCUUGUUCUUUGUAAAUUUAUGAGUUUGUUCAUAAAUUGAUGAUUUUUUCGAAAUUUUGUGGCAAAAUAACUUCUCAAUUCCUACUUAAAAAAUAGCUCGACUUACUCUAUUAUUGAUUGUUCUUCAGUUUAUUAGCAUGUUAUUAAAGAUGGCUUCUUGCUUGUAAAUAGGGUAGCUCGUACAUGGAGAAAUCUGCUUUUUUUUUUUUUUUUCAUUUCGUUUCAGCAAUUUAUUGUGAAAAGCUUGUUGAAUUUGAUACUAUCAUUUUUGUUCUCUGUUUAUAUUGUGGAAAGCUUGCUAAAAUUGUGGCCAAAUUCGAAGCUGAAUGAUGGUGGAAGAAAUUAUCCUCAUUUUAUUGAAUUUGUAUUUGCAAGAGGGUAGUAAAAUAAUCUUAGUGAAAUUCAAUUAAACUAGUACUUUGUUUGCAAUGUACUGUUAUUCAUAAGUUCCAAUAUGGGAUUUCAUAAUUCAAUUGCACUCAUGUAUGUUUAUUUGUUUGUUCAACAGUUGUUGACUAGAAUGAGAGGAAGGAAUUUCGGAAUUUGUCACGACUGUAGAAGUAACACUCGCUACUUUGAACAAUGUCAAACAAAACGUGGAUGCCCUUCAUGUAAACACGGAGUUUGGAAAUGUUUUGAGGUAGAACGGAAUACUUAAAACAAAGGGCGUUUGUUCUUCACGUGUAGUAAUGACUGUAUAUAUUUCGAUUGGGUGAAAAAUGAAAUUUUGAGUGGGGAAUCAAGUACCGUUAACAAAGAUGUGAAUCAUGAGCCCAACAAGGAAUAUGAAGCUUGCCAAGAAUCUUCAACAGCCUAGCUCGAAUUACCAAGAAAUGAGAUGUCGACAUAACAUUGCACGUAACAUUUCACAAAGGAAAGGGAUUUGGAGAAUGCAAUGGGAAGGGAAAGGGACUGACGUAAAUGGGUGAUGCCAAUUUAGGAUCCAAUAUGCUCAUGCUUCCAGAAUUUUGUGACUCAUUACAAGUAGAGGCUAAACGAAUAACAUGCGCGAAAUGACAGUGCUUCCAUUACUUGAUUUUGACGUCCACAUGUGUUCUACUUGUAAUUUUAUCCAUUCCAUUAUAGCACUAACCACUUUUCAUCAUCUGCAGCAAGGUCUGCCACCUCCAAGAAAAGCCUGACACAUAUCGUCAUAUCUUACUUGUCCCGGAGUACUUCCUAGCUCGUCAUAAUUGACUUUGACCCUCGUGUGUGCUCUUUUGACAUCUCUCCGCCAUCUUGUAGUAUAUACCUAUCAGGCAUUGACGUGAUGUCAUUGCGGAUCAAGAUUGUGAUCACAUGCCUGCAAAUGAUUCCUCGAAUCUCGAAUACGUGGCAACUAAAAGUGAAUUCGCAAGUAUCUCUCCGAAAUGAGACGCAAAAUGUUCUUUUCUUCUGGUGAUCAUGAACCUAGUAGUUUGUCCAAACACAUUCAUCCUUCUCAGAGAUGACAUCACGAUAGACCUUCUCAGUGAACUCAUUUUGUACUUCCUUGAACUUUGAAAUGGUGUACACUAAUUGAAAUUGUUUCUCCAUUUCGAAAGUAGUUGCACAUGAUACCAUUUGGGAAAAUGACUUGAAAUUAGCCCGAAUCUCUUUCUCAACCUUAUUCUUAAGUGCUCUUUUAUACUAUUCGACGAUUUGCUUCAACGAGACUUUAAAUGCACAUAUCCAUCGAAAAAUGCUUUCAUACUCUCAUUUCGUUGUGUUGUUGAUAUCCCUGCAUCCCUGCCCAAAAAGUGGUCUUCAAAAACAAGGAACCCAACGACUUGUUAUCUUAUAAUCCCAAAAACUAGUUAUUAUUAUGCAAGUCAUACAAAUCGAGCAUUAUCCUCCAAUUGUGCUCGAAUUCUUCAACAAACUGUGAAUCCUAUACUUGGUCACAUAUAGCAAAAAAUAUGGAGACUUUAUGAACAUUGUAGCCAAACGUUUCUUACAACUUCUUCAAAAUGUGUUAUAAAUACCAUCUGUACCUCAUAUCUGAAAAAACUAUCUCAAUUGUAUUUUGCAUUGCUCUAUCUUGAUCGGUGAUUAUUCUACUGGGAGGUUUGGCGUGCAUGCAUUCGAGCUAUGUCCUAAACAACCGCACAAAAGUCCAUGUGUCUUCAUUCGAUAAUAGUCCACAACUAAGCAGUGUUAAUUGUUCAUGAUGAUUUACGUCAACAAAAGGGGCGAACAACAUGUCGUACUUAUUAGUGAGAUACGUAGUAUCAAAAGUGACAGCGUCACCAAGCUCUUUGUAAGAUUGCCUACAUCUAUUAUCUGUCCAAAAUACAUUCUUUAGUCGUGAUCGACGUCUAACUCCAUACUGAAGUAAAAUCCCAUAGCACCGUGCUUGCAUCUUUGAAAAGUAUGCUUGUAUUGCGAUGGAAUCUCCUUCACCAAGUUGUAGUCGUCUCACUUGUUCUAUAUAGUUCUGACAACACUUCUCCAUGAACGUCAUGUUCUCAUAUCUACCUGUUGCCACAACUGUGGAUUUAAAAUUCUUGUGCAAGG